rnacentral:rRNA from 1 species
AGUCGAACGAGCCUUCGGGCUAGUGGCGGACGGGUGAGUAACGCGUGGGAAACUGCCCUCAGGAGGGGGAUAACGGCCGGAAACGGCCGCUAAUACCCCAUAUGCCGAGAGGUGAAACGAAUUUCGCCUGAGGAUGAGCCCGCGUCUGAUUAGCUAGUUGGUGAGGUAAUGGCUCACCAAGGCAUCGAUCAGUAGCUGGUCUGAGAGGAUGAUCAGCCACACUGGGACUGAGACACGGCCCAGACUCCUACGGGAGGCAGCAGUGGGGAAUUUUCCGCAAUGGGCGCAAGCCUGACGGAGCAACGCCGCGUGAGGGACGAAGGCCUCUGGGCUGUAAACCUCUUUUCUCAAGGAAGAAGACAUGACGGUACUUGAGGAAUAAGCCACGGCUAAUUCCGUGCCAGCAGCCGCGGUAAUACGGGAGUGGCAAGCGUUAUCCGGAAUUAUUGGGCGUAAAGCGUCCGCAGGCGGCCUUGAAAGUCUGUUGUUAAAGCGUGGAGCUCAACUCCAUUUCAGCAAUGGAAACUACAAGGCUAGAGUGUGGUAGGGGCAGAGGGAAUUCCCGGUGUAGCGGUGAAAUGCGUAGAUAUCGGGAAGAACACCAGUGGCGAAGGCGCUCUGCUGGGCCAUAACUGACGCUCAUGGACGAAAGCCAGGGGAGCGAAAGGGAUUAGAUACCCCUGUAGUCCUGGCCGUAAACGAUGAACACUAGGUGUCGGGAGAAUUAACCCUCUCGGUGUCGUAGCCAACGCGUUAAGUGUUCCGCCUGGGGAGUACGCACGCAAGUGUGAAACUCAAAGGAAUUGACGGGGGCCCGCACAAGCGGUGGAGUAUGUGGUUUAAUUCGAUGCAACGCGAAGAACCUUACCAGGGUUUGACAUCCUGCGAAUCCCUUGGAAACUUGGGAGUGCCUUCGGGAACGCAGUGACAGGUGGUGCAUGGCUGUCGUCAGCUCGUGUCGUGAGAUGUUGGGUUAAGUCCCGCAACGAGCGCAACCCACGUCUUUAGUUGCCAGCAUUCAGUUGGGCACUCUAGAGAGACCGCCGGUGAUAAACCGGAGGAAGGUGUGGAUGACGUCAAGUCAUCAUGCCCCUUACAUCCUGGGCUACACACGUACUACAAUGCUACGGACAAAGGGCAGCAAACUCGCGAGAGCUAGCAAAUCCCAUAAACCGUGGCUCAGUUCAGAUCGUAGGCUGCAACUCGCCUACGUGAAGGAGGAAUCGCUAGUAAUCGCAGGUCAGCAUACUGCGGUGAAUACGUUCCCGGGCCUUGUACACACCGCCCGUCACACCAUGGAAGUUGGCCAUGCCCGAAGUCGUUAUUCCAACCCGCAAGGGAGGAGGUACGCCGAAGGUGGGGCUGAUGACUGCGG